rnacentral:rRNA from 1 species
CCUACGGGCGGCUGCAGUGGGGAAUAUUGCACAAUGGGCGAAAGCCUGAUGCAGCGACGCCGCGUGAGGGAUGACGGCCUUCGGGUUGUAAACCUCUUUCAGUAGGGAAGAAGCGAAAGUGACGGUACCUGCAGAAGAAGCACCGGCUAACUACGUGCCAGCAGCCGCGGUAAUACGUAGGGUGCGAGCGUUAUCCGGAAUUAUUGGGCGUAAAGAGCUCGUAGGCGGUUUGUCGCGUCUGUCGUGAAAGUCCGGGGCUUAACCCCGGAUCUGCGGUGGGUACGGGCAGACUAGAGUGCAGUAGGGGAGACUGGAAUUCCUGGUGUAGCGGUGGAAUGCGCAGAUAUCAGGAGGAACACCGAUGGCGAAGGCAGGUCUCUGGGCUGUAACUGACGCUGAGGAGCGAAAGCAUGGGGAGCGAACAGGCUUAGAUACCCCAGUAGUC